rnacentral:rRNA from 1 species
UACGUAGGGGGCGAGCGUUGUCCGAAUUUACUGGGCGUAAAGCGCGUGUAGGCGGCUCUUUAAGUCAGUUGUGAAAUCUUGCGGCUCAACCGCAAAACUGCGACUGAAACUGGAGGGCUUGAGUUUGGGAGAGGAAAGUGGAAUUCCUGGUGUAGCGGUGAAAUGCGUAGAUAUCAGGAGGAACACCCGUGGCGAAGGCGGCUUUCUGGCCCAACACUGACGCUGAGACGCGAAAGCUAGGGGAG